rnacentral:rRNA from 1 species
ACGCGGCCGAAGGUGGGUUUGGUAAUUGGGGUGAAGUCGUAACAAGGUAGCCGUUCGAGAACGAGCGGCUGGAUCACCUCCUUUCUAAGGAGA